UUGAUCCUGGCUCAGAACGAACGCUGGCGGCGUGGAUUAGGCAUGCAAGUCGAACGAGAAGCUUUUGAAUCAAGUUUUCGGACAAGAUUCUUAGGUGGACAGUGGCGGAAGGGUGAGGAAUACAUGGAUAAUCUAUCUUUAAGUUGGGUAUAACUUUCCGAAAGGAGAGAUAAUCCCCAAUGUGGUGAUCCGGCGCAUGUCGGUGAAACUAAAGGCGGGGACCGUAAGGCCCGCCGCUUAAUGAGGAAUCCGUGCACUAUCAGCUUGUUGGUGAGGUAAUGGCUCACCAAGGCUUUGACGGUUAGCUGGUCUGAGAGGAUGGUCAGCCACACUGGGACUGAGAUACUGCCCAGACUCCUACGGGAGGCUGCAGUCGAGAAUCAUUCGCAAUGGGCGAAAGCCUGACGAUGCGACGUCGCGUGGAGGAUGAAGGUCCUCGGAUUGUAAACUCCUGUCAUGAGGGAUAAAUAGCCUAGGUGUUAAUACCACCCUGGAAUGAUAGUACCUCAAGAGGAAGAGACGGCUAACUCUGUGCCAGCAGCCGCGGUAAUACAGAGGUCUCGAGCGUUGUUCGGAUUUACUGGGCGUAAAGGGAGCGUAGGCGGUUUGGUGUGUUGAACGUGAAAUCCCACAACUCAACUGUGGAAAUGCAUUCAAAACUACCAGACUAGAGUACUGGAGAGGAGAGCGGAAUUCUUGGUGUAGCGGUGAAAUGCGUAGAUAUCAAGAGGAACACCGGUGGCGAAAGCGGCUCUCUGGACAGAUACUGACGCUGAGGCUCUAAAGUUAGGGGAGCAAACAGGAUUAGAUACCCUGGUAGUCCUAACCAUAAA
rnacentral:rRNA from 1 species